rnacentral:rRNA from 1 species
UGCGGGGGGAGCAAGCGUUGUUCGGAUUUACUGGGCGUAAAGGGCGGGUAGGCGGCCACCGCAAGUCAGUUGUGAAAUCUCUGGGCUUAACCCAGAAAGGUCAACUGAUACUGCGGGGCUAGAGUGCAGAAGGGGCAACUGGAAUUCUCGGUGUAGCGGUGAAAUGCGUAGAUAUCGAGAGGAACACCUGCGGCGAAGGCGGGUUGCUGGGCUGACACUGACGCUGAACUGCGAAAGCUAGGGGAGCGAACGGG